AAACUCACUAUAGCAGGCUCACAAAGGUGCUUUUCCCAGGCAGAGUCUCAUCUAGCAGUCUGGAUAUGCCGACUCCUGUGGUUUUCCCAAAUGUGGAAAACUAGCUGCAUAAUUUGUGGCAGUAGAGGCCUGUGUUUAAGAUAAAUCCCAA
rnacentral:snRNA from 1 species